UCUCCGUUGGUGAACCAGCGGAGGGAUCAUUACCGAGUUAUACAACUCCCAAACCCAUGUGAACUUACCUGUCGUUGCUUCGGCGGACCGCCCCGGGGCCCAUCGGCCGCGGAUCCACGGCGCCCGCCGGGGGCUCGAAAGACUCUCGUUUUCUUCUACGCAGACUUCUGAGUGGCAUUUAUUACAAAUAAAUCAAAACUUUCAACAACGGAUCUCUUGGUUCUG
rnacentral:misc_RNA from 1 species